UUAUCAAGAGUGGUCGAGGGACUGGCCCUGUGACACCACAGCAACCUGCAAUCUGUAAGGUGCUAAUACCUGCGGUAAGAUAAUACCGAAUGAUGA
rnacentral:ncRNA from 1 species